AUUGAACGCUGGCGGCAUGCCUUACACAUGCAAGUCGAACGGUAACGGGCCUUCGGGUGCCGACGAGUGGCGAACGGGUGAGUAAUACAUCGGAACGUGCCCGAUCGUGGGGGAUAACGAGGCGAAAGCUUUGCUAAUACCGCAUACGAUCUACGGAUGAAAGCAGGGGACCGCAAGGCCUUGCGCGGACGGAGCGGCCGAUGGCAGAUUAGGUAGUUGGUGGGAUAAAAGCUUACCAAGCCGACGAUCUGUAGCUGGUCUGAGAGGAUGAUCAGCCACACUGGGACUGAGACACGGCCCAGACUCCUACGGGAGGCAGCAGUGGGGAAUUUUGGACAAUGGGCGAAAGCCUGAUCCAGCCAUGCCGCGUGCAGGAUGAAGGCCUUCGGGUUGUAAACUGCUUUUGUACGGAACGAAAAGCCUUCUUUUAAUACAGGAGGGUCAUGACGGUACCGUAAGAAUAAGCACCGGCUAACUACGUG
rnacentral:rRNA from 1 species